GAUGAACGCUGGCGGCGUGCCUAAUACAUGCAAGUCGAGCGAACGGACGAGAAGCUUGCUUCUCUGAUGUUAGCGGCGGAUGGGUGAGUAACACGUGGAUAACCUACCUAUAAGACUGGGAUAACUUCGGGAAACCGGAGCUAAUACCGGAUAAUAUUUUGAACCGCAUGGUUCAAAAGUGAAAGACGGACUUGCUGUCACUUAUAGAUGGAUCCGCGCUGCAUUAGCUAGUUGGUAAGGUAACGGCUUACCAAGGCAACGAUGCAUAGCCGACCUGAGAGGGUGAUCGGCCACACUGGAACUGAGACACGGUCCAGACUCCUACGGGAGGCAGCAGUAGGGAAUCUUCCGCAAUGGGCGAAAGCCUGACGGAGCAACGCCGCGUGAGUGAUGAAGGUCUUCGGAUCGUAAAACUCUGUUAUUAGGGAAGAACAUAUGUGUAAGUAACUGUGCACAUCUUGACGGUACCUAAUCAGAAAGCCACGGCUAACUACGUG
rnacentral:rRNA from 1 species